UACGUAGGGGGCGAGCGUUAUCCGGAAUUACUGGGCGUAAAGCGCACGCAGGCGGUUCGCCAAGUUUGGAGUGACAGUUGUCGGCUCAACCGGCAAAGGACUUCAAAAACUGGUGAACUUGAGGACGAGAGAGGAACAUGGAACUCCAGGUGUAGUAGUGAAAUGCGUAGAUAUCUGGAAGAACACCAAUGGCGAAGGCAAUGUUCUGGCUCGUUUCUGACGCUCAGGUGCGAAGGCCAGGGGAGCGAACGGG
rnacentral:rRNA from 1 species